UACGUAGGGAGCAAGCGUUGUCCGGAAUCAUUGGGCGUAAAGCGCGCGUAGGUGGCCUCAUAAGUCCGCUGUGAAAGUCAAAGGCUCAACCUUUGAAAGCCGGUGGAUACUGUGAGGCUAGAGUACGGAAGAGGCGAGUGGAAUUCCUGGUGUAGCGGUGGAAUGCGCAGAUAUCAGGAGGAACACCGGUGGCGAAGGCGGGUCUCUGGGCCGUAACUGACGCUGAGGAGCGAAAGCGUGGGGAGCGAACAGG
rnacentral:rRNA from 1 species